rnacentral:rRNA from 1 species
GACGAACGCUGGCGGCGUGCCUAAUACAUGCAAGUUGAGCGAGGAAGAUUGGUGCUUGCACCAAUUUGAAGAGCAGCGAACGGGUGAGUAACGCGUGGGGAAUCUGCCUUUGAGCGGGGGACAACAUUUGGAAACGAAUGCUAAUACCGCAUAACAACUUUAAACAUAAGUUUUAAGUUUGAAAGAUGCAAUUGCAUCACUCAAAGAUGAUCCCGCGUUGUAUUAGCUAGUUGGUGAGGUAAAGGCUCACCAAGGCGAUGAUACAUAGCCGACCUGAGAGGGUGAUCGGCCACAUUGGGACUGAGACACGGCCCAAACUCCUACGGGAGGCAGCAGUAGGGAAUCUUCGGCAAUGGACGAAAGUCUGACCGAGCAACGCCGCGUGAGGGAAGAAGGGUUUCGGAUCGUAAAACUCUGUUGGUAGAGAAGAACGUUGGUGAGAGUGGAAAGCUCAUCAAGUGACGGUAACUACCCAGAAAGGGACGGCUAACUACGUG